UACGUAGGGGGCAAGCGUUGUCCGGAAUCAUUGGGCGUAAAGAGCGUGUAGGCGGCCCGAUAAGUCCGCCGUGAAAGUCCAAGGCUCAACCCUGGAAUGCCGGUGGAAACUGUCGGGCUGGAGUCCGGAAGAGGCGAGUGGAAUUCCUGGUGUAGCGGUGAAAUGCGCAGAUAUCAGGAAGAACACCCGUGGCGAAGGCGGCUCUCUGGGACGGUACUGACGCUGAGACGCGAAAGCGUGGGGAGCGAACAGG
rnacentral:rRNA from 1 species